GGUAUAGUUUUAUUAAAACUUAAGAUAGACUUACUAUGUCAGAAUCGUAAGAUAGCAGCAUAAAGAUCUCAUUUUUAGUUAGUAUUAAAGCUAUACCUAAA
rnacentral:SRP_RNA from 1 species